rnacentral:rRNA from 1 species
GAUGAACGCUGGCGGCGUGCCUAAUACAUGCAAGUCGAGCGAACGGACGAGAAGCUUGCUUCUCUGAUGUUAGCGGCGGACGGGUGAGUAACACGUGGAUAACCUACCUAUAAGACUGGGAUAACUUCGGGAAACCGGAGCUAAUACCGGAUAAUAUUUUGAACCGCAUGGUUCAAAAGUGAAAGACGGUCUUGCUGUCACUUAUAGAUGGAUCCGCGCUGGAUUAGCUAGUUGGUAAGGUAACGGCUUACCAAGGCAACGAUGCAUAGCCGACCUGAGAGGGUGAUCGGCCGCACUGGAACUGAGACACGGUCCAGACUCCUACGGGAGGCAGCAGUAGGCAAUCUUCCGCAAUGGGCGAAAGCCUGACAGAACAACGCCACGUGAGUGAUGAAGGUCUUCGGAUCGUAAAACUCUCUUAUUAGUUAAAAACAUAUGUGUAAGUAACUGUGCACAUCUUGACGGUACCUAAUCAGAAAGCCACGGCUAACUACGUG